rnacentral:rRNA from 1 species
ACGCUGGCGGCAGGCCUAAGACAUGCAAGUCGAGCGAGAAAGCCCUUCGGGGUGAGUAGAGCGGCGGACGGGUGAGUAACGCGUAGGAAUCUACCCAGUAGUGGGGGACAACUAGUGGAAACGCUAGCUAAUACCGCAUACGCCCUAAGGGGGAAAGCGGGGGACCUUCGGGCCUCGUGCUAUUGGAUGAGCCUGCGUAAGAUUAGCUUGUUGGUGAGGUAAUGGCUCACCAAGGCGACGAUCUUUAGCUGGUCUGAGAGGAUGAUCAGCCACACCGGGACUGAGACACGGCCCGGACUCCUACGGGAGGCAGCAGUCGGGAAUAUUGCGCAAUGGGGGAAACCCUGACGCAGCCAUGCCGCGUGUGUGAAGAAGGCCCUAGGGUUGUAAAGCACUUUCAAUUGGGAGGAAAAGUUAAUGGUUAAUAACCAUUAGCCCUGACGUUACCUUUAGAAGAAGCACCGGCUAACUCCGUGCCAGCAGCCGCGGUAAUACGGAGGGUGCGAGCGUUAAUCGGAAUUACUGGGCGUAAAGCGCGCGUAGGCGGUUUUUUAAGUCGGAUGUGAAAGCCCCGGGCUCAACCUGGGAACUGCAUCCGAUACUGGAUGACUAGAAUGCGGGAGAGGGAGGUAGAAUUCCAUGUGUAGCAGUGAAAUGCGUAGAUAUAUGGAGGAAUACCAGUGGCGAAGGCGGCCUCCUGGCUCGACAUUGACGCUGAGGUGCGAAAGCGUGGGGAGCAAACGGGAUUAGAUACCCCGGUAGUCCACGCCGUAAACGAUGUCUACUAGCUGUAGGGGUACUUGAGACCUUUGUAGCGCAGCUAACGCAAUAAGUAGACCGCCUGGGGAGUACGGCCGCAAG